GACGAACGCUGGCGGCGUGCUUAACACAUGCAAGUCGAACGGAAAGGCCCUGCUUUUGUGGGUUGCACGAGUGGCGAACGGGUGAGUAACACGUGAGUAACCUGCACUUGACAUUGGGAUAAAUUCAGGAAACUGGGUAGAAUACCGGAUAGGAGCUCCUGCUCCAUGGUGGGGGUUGGAAAGUUACGGCGGUUGGGGAUGGACUCGCGGCUUAUCAGCUUGAUUGUGGGGUAGUUGCUGACCAAGGCUUUGAGGGGUAGCCGGCCUGAGAGGGUGACCGGCGACAUUGGGACUGAGAUACGGCCCAGACUCCUACGGGAGGCAGCAGUGGGGAAUAUUGCACAAUGGGCGGAAGCCUGAUGCAGCAACGCCGCGUGCGGGAUGACGGCUUUCGGGUUGUAAACCGCUUUCGCAUGUGACGAAGAGUGCGUGACGGUAAUGAGUAAAGAAGCACCGGCUAACUACGUG
rnacentral:rRNA from 1 species